ACCCGCCAUUAAAACUCUAAAGAAGAAGGUGCUGUGCACGGGCUCAUUUGACUACGCAUAGUACUGUAUUAGAGGUAAAAAAAAAUUAUAUAAAUACUGUUCGGCUUCUCGCACAAACCGAUCGUUUCGUUUCUUAGGAUAUCAAUGUGUCGUCACGAGCGGCAGGGUUUAAUUUGGAUUUGUCUGUGCAUGUUUUUACUGUCUGAGAUUUUGUUACUAUUCACAUGCAUACAGACUGAAACGGUUGGAGUUUCUACAUUUGUGUUGUACUGAAGAAACAAAAUCACAUACAUCUUGGAUGGCCUCGGGACCCUUUUGCCAGUAUGAAGCCGAUUUCAACGGUAACUGCAGAAAGCGUCAGCACGCUCAGCUCAUCACUGGAGUAACGUCUGUACAACGGGUGAGAUAAAACUCAACGCCUGACUGAAUCAUCCAUUCCCUUUUCGAUCCUACGCCAUACGUUAAACUUGAGCACACCACCCAUACAUGGCACACAAAACAGGUCUUGUGAGGGGGCUGUGCCCACAGGUAGAAAUUCUGUGGGUCCACGGGCUUCUCCCCUUUCAGCGAACAUCACAGCGCUUAGUCCACCAUCGUGGUCUCCAAUCUCCAUUACCAACAGCCUGAGUGCUACACCUACAGACACCCCAACCCAUGCAGCAGCUGGCAGAAGUCAGACAUCAGGCCAAACUGGAUUUCAACACACCCCACCCUUACAUGGCACACAAGUAUAUGACACACAACACAGGUCUUCUCAGGAGGCUGUGCCUACAGCAAUAGGCUUUACGCCCAGCUGCACUACUUCCUGAACUUCAGCCAGCUCCUUGUUUCCUGUCUGCCAUUAUUGGACAAACUGAUUAAUCCAGGUGUGCCUGAGCUUAGUAGUCACAACAACAAUAAUCAGACACACCUGGAUUUAUCAGUUUGUCCAGUAAUGGCAGACAGGAAACAAGGAGCUUAAAGCCUAUUGCUAAGGAGAUCCUCAUCCAGCUCGAUUUUAUUAGAGAGCAGCAGUUGCAGACUUCAUCCCAGACCCAACACAUUUUGGGCUGCCACUUUCAACUAUUGAGGAGCUACAAUGUUUGUAGGAGACAUUAAAUAAUCCAGAUGAGAAGAAGAAUUUGGUGAGACUGUUUUUCCUGGAAUGGUCGGAGACAAGACUCUUAAAGACACCGUGGGGUGGGUCCUGAAAAAAACAAUGAACUCUUCGUGGUGAGACUCAUCAAUUGAAGUGGGGUCAACUGAACGCCUGCAUUCAAAGGGCUCACUUUGAAAAGUGUGGUUUUGGAUGCAGUCCGCCGGAAUGCCCUGACCAAAGAUAACACAGAAAAGGAGAUAGAGCUCCUCAUCACCAGGUGGUCGGUGCUAGCAUAUGACAGGGAUGGUGGCCAAAUCCAGACAAUAGACAGACAAUGAAUUAAAAUGUUUUAAAUUUAAAAAUGUUGAUUUUUGGAAAAUUCGUAUUUGAACUGAUUGUGUGUGUGUGUGCACCUGGUAAUUAUCACGUUGUGUCCCCACAAAGAUAGGAAUACCAGUAUUUUUGUGACCUUGUGUCCCCAUGAGGAAACAAGCUUAUAAAUCAAACAAAAUGAUGUUUCUUGUAAAUGUGAAGUAGGAGAAGGGUUUCUGUGAUGGUUGGGUUUAGGGAAUGGGGUAGGUAAGGGGAAUAAAAUAUACAGUUUGUAUGGUAUAAAAUGCAUUACGUCUAUGGAAUGUCCCCACAAAACAUGGAAACCUGUUUGUGUGUACGAGAGAGAGAGAAUGUGUGUUCAAGUGAAUAAAAAAUGCAUUAAACGUGAAA